ACCUUUUCUUCACGAACGGCGAAACCAGGGUUCAUCGUGUUAUUCAUCUGUUACUAGCUAAAGCUACAAUGGUGUCCAUUUGGGGAUCCUUCAGAAACUUUCUUAUUCGCGAGGUGAAAAUUAGGGUUAGCCGUUAUCUUCACAAUGAACGAGCUUGAGCAACAAUGGUGAUCUAAUCGAGUCAGACGCAUCGUCGUUUCGUAUUUGGUCUUUAACCCCCAGACGUUACGACUCUCUUCUUUCAUCAGCUUUAAGAGAUGUCUUAACUCCAUCGACGCAAUCAAGCACGACGUCUCAUUCAAUCAUACUCAUUCAACUCCAAGACCGUUUUCUGUACUUAUAAAAAAGGUGUUGAUGCUCCAAUUCUGGGAGGCCGGAAAAGCACAACGCUGUGACGAGUUAAUGGGAGUUGAUAUGCUCCUCUUCGAUGUGAAGAUCACAUUCCUUACAGUCAACCCUCAUGCCAGCCACCGUGAACGUUCACCGGCUAGCCAAUUUCAAGGAUCGUCUCCAGGCUGCGGAUUUGAUAUCACUCGGUGCAACCAGAACUUCAGGCUUUCAGACUCACUUAUGACAAUACUGUUCAGUGAUUCAACCAAUCUAGAUGUGCUAACCGAACCAUAUUCACCCAUUCCUGUAAAACGUUUCAGGUUCUGUGAUUAGCCAACACCAACACCUCUUCCAUGAACGUUAUUGGUGAACUCACUGCUGUGAAAAGUACAGUGAGUGACAUUUCGUCUAGCGAGUUAUGGGACUAUUAAGAUCGACAGGUAACUCUCUUCCACAUAUGAAUCUAUUCAAUACUUUCAUAAAUUAUCUUACUUUUCUUUUGAAUAUACAUUGGCCGUUUUAUGUUCUAUCUUCCUUUUCAUAGUAAUAUCUCUCACUUUGAGUCUGAUUGACUCACAAGAUGUCUCUUUUCACAAGAAACUUGAAGGAUUCCUGGGAGAUCCAAAGGACUUUUGUUCUUGAAUGCCACCUCGGGAACACAUUUAUUUUCCGACAAGGCAACUGAUGCAGGGGAAAUUCAAUUUUAGGAUACAUGCUGGUUUCCAAAGCCAUUGGGAUCACCCAUGUUCCAUCAUUGCUGAGAGGUUGAGCCUCUUACUAUAGCUUAGCUCAAUGAGUUCGUCAUCAUUUCCGAGCUUCAGGUUGUACAGUCAGUUUUUACUGUUUAAAAUUUAUUUUCUGUAUGUGGUUCUGAAAGGUUCAAAAUAUAAGAUUGAAUUUGUCUGCACUGGAAUGGUGACUGAUAUCAAACUGGAGAAAAGCUGGUGUUACGUCUCUUGCCCAAGGUGCACAAAGAAGCUCCAACGAACGGUGUCAUCCUUGCGUGACCUGCAGUAACACCACGCAUCAAACCAUUGCAGGAACAUCUCUAAGUGGUCGCCAUCAAGAAACCUUAGGCAUCAAAGUCUUCAAAGGUGGUCAAGAAGCCACGUAAGGAAUAAGUGAAGAUGAGGGUUGUGAUGCGGAUGGAGUACUUGCUGUUUCAAUAAUGAUUGUGUGUUAACGUGAGUUUUCUUUUAAACUAUGUCCUCUUAUGGAGUUUGGUAUGUUUUAAAAAAAAAUCUAAAACUAUAAUAAAAAUGCUUUUUUGGACUUUA